CCAGGCUAGGGGUACAAGUCCUGCAGAAUUGCGUUCCACUGGACCUAAGCAACGACCUGAAAGGGUAGCGACGACGCCUGGCGUUGAAGGGGAGAGUAUCAGACGUGAUGUCCCCGACAACG
rnacentral:sRNA from 12 species